rnacentral:rRNA from 2 species
AGUAGGGAAUCUUCGGCAAUGGACGGAAGUCUGACCGAGCAACGCCGCGUGAGUGAAGAAGGUUUUCGGAUCGUAAAGCUCUGUUGUAAGAGAAGAACGAGUGUGAGAGUGGAAAGUUCACACUGUGACGGUAUCUUACCAGAAAGGGACGGCUAACUACGUGCCAGCAGCCGCGGUAAUACGUAGGUCCCGAGCGUUGUCCGGAUUUAUUGGGCGUAAAGCGAGCGCAGGCGGUUAGAUAAGUCUGAAGUUAAAGGCUGUGGCUUAACCAUAGUACGCUUUGGAAACUGUUUAACUUGAGUGCAAGAGGGGAGAGUGGAAUUCCAUGUGUAGCGGUGAAAUGCGUAGAUAUAUGGAGGAACACCGGUGGCGAAAGCGGCUCUCUGGCUUGUAACUGACGCUGAGGCUCGAAAGCGUGGGGAGCAAA